ensembl:lncRNA
UUGUGUUUAGACCAAGGUGUAGGAUUUAGGGGUCAAUUUGGAAAUAGAAAUUGAAUGUAGUUCAGUGGCUGACAGGUGUCCUUAAUUAGCCAACGACAUUAGAAGGGUCUGGGAUUCCUUUAAAAGGAGCAACCAAACAUCUGGCAAAUAUAGUAAAAGGGAUAUUCUGGUAGGACAUAUGCCUACCAUUAGUUCUGAAUACUGGUGAGGUUUUGAGGGCAAAAUGGCCGUGAUGAUUGGAAUCGCUUUCAGCAUUUCUUGGCUUUGUUGCCUGCUAAUUGGAGGGAUAACGUGUUCUACAUCAGAAGGUGAGUUCAUUUCAAAUAACAGCUACGCAGUUGCUUAACUUUCAAAUGCUGGCAUUUUACAGAUUAUAUUUUUAACCUAGGUGAUUGGUCUCCUGCACUGGAUUCUAAUGCAGCAUGGCUCUAUGCAGGAUCACUUCGGUCUCUAGGAUAUGGCAAUUAUAAAUCUCAAAUGCAAGCGCAACAGAAACAUCCGGCCGCCAUCCUGCGGAAGGAACUGGCCCCCAUGUCCCAGCAACCUCAGCAAGUGUGGUAUCCAGUUCAAUUGCCCCUGCAUCAGAAGCAACUGGCCGCAGAAACUCAGCAGCAGAGGCAACCGACAACUGUGCCCCAGCAAGUGUGGCAUCAAGCUCACAUGCUGACACAACCACCGACCGCCGUGCCCCAGCAAGUGUGGCAUCAAGCUCACAUGCUGACGCAUAAGCAACCGACCGCCGUGCCCCAGCAAGUGUGGCAUCAAGCUCACAUGCUGACGCAUAAGCAACCGACCGCCGUGCCCCAGCAAGUGUGGCAUCCUGCUCAAAAGCCCCUGCAGCAGAAGCAACUGGCCGCAGAAGCUCAGCAGCAGAGGCAACCGACCGCCGUGCCCCAGCAAGUGUGGCAUCAAGCUCACAUGCUGACGCAUAAGCAACCGACCACUGUGCCCCAGCAAGUGUGGCAUCCUCCUCAAAUGCUCCUGCAGCAGAAGCAACCGACCGCCGUGCCCCAGCAAGUGUGGCAUCCUCCUCAAAUGCCCCUGCAGCAGAAGCAACCGACCGCCGUGCCCCAGCAAGUAUGGCAUCCUUCUCAAAUGCCCCUGCAAACAACCGCUGUGCCCCAGCAAGUGUGGCAUCCUCCUCAAAUGCCCCUGCAGCAUAAUCAACCGACCGCUGUGCCCCAGCAAGUGUGGCAUCCUGCUCAAAAGCCCCUGCAGCAGAAGCAACCGACCGCCGUGCCCCAGCAAGUGUGGCAUCAAGCUCACAUGCUGACGCAUAAGCAACCGACCGCUGUGCCCCAGCAAGUGUGGCAUCCUCCUCAAAUGCCCCUGCAGCAGAAGCAACCGACCACCGUGCCCCAGCAAGUGUGGCUUCCUCCUCAAUUGCCCCUGCAGCAGAAGCAACCGACCGCUGUGCCCCAGCAAGUAUGGCAUCCUUCUCAAAUGCCACUGCAAACAACCGCUGUGCCCCAGGAAGUGUGGCAUCCUCCUCAAAUGCCCCUGCAGCAUAUUCAACCGAUCGGCGUGCCCCAGCAAGUGUGGCUUCCUCCUCAAAUGCCCUUGCAGCAGAAGCAACCGAGCGCCGUGCCCCAGCAAGUGUGGCAUCCUCCUCAAAUGCCCCUGCAGCAGAAGCAACCGACCGCCGUGCCCCAGCAAGUGUGGCUUCCUCCUCAAAUGCCCUUGCAGCAGAAGCAACCGAGCGCCGUGCCCCAGCAAGUGUGGCUUCCUCAAUUGCCCCUGCAGCAGAAGCAGCCGACCGCCGUGCCCCAGCAAGUGUGGCUUCCUCAAUUGCCCCUGCAGCAGAAGCAACCGACCGCCGUGCCCCAGCAAGUGUGGCAUCCAGCUCAAAUGCAGCAGAAGCAACAGACCAACGUGCCCCAGCAAGUGUGGCAUCCAGCUCAAAUGCAGCAGAAGCAACCGACUGCCCUGUGCCAGCAAGUGUGGCAUCCUCCUCAAAUGGCCCUGCAGCAGAAGCAACUGACCACCGUGCCCCAGCAAGUGUGGCAUCCAGCUCAAAUGCAGCAGAAGCAACCGACUGCCGUGCCCCAGCAAGUGUGGCAUCCUCGUCAAAUGCCCCUGAGGCAGAAGCAAACGACCGACGUGCCCCAGCAAGUGAGGCAUCCUGCUCAGUUUCCCCAGCAGAAGCAACUGGCCCCUAUGCCUCUACUGCAGAAGGAACCAACCACCAUAACCCAGCAACCUCAGCAGUAG